rnacentral:rRNA from 1 species
CCUACGGGAGGCAGCAGUGAGGAAUAUUGGUCAAUGGACGAGAGUCUGAACCAGCCAAGUAGCGUGAAGGAUGACUGCCCUAUGGGUUGUAAACUUCUUUUAUAUGGGAAUAAAAUGUUCCACGUGUGGGAUUUUGUAUGUACCAUAUGAAUAAGGAUCGGCUAACUCCGUGCCAGCAGCCGCGGUAAUACGGAGGAUCCGAGCGUUAUCCGGAUUUAUUGGGUUUAAAGGGAGCGUAGGUGGAUUGUUAAGUCAGUUGUGAAAGUUUGCGGCUCAACCGUAAAAUUGCAGUUGAAACUGGCAGUCUUGAGUGCAGUAGAGGUGGGCGGAAUUCGUGGUGUAGCGGUGAAAUGCUUAGAGAUCACGAAGAACUCCGAUUGCGAAGGCAGUUCACUGGACUGCAACUGACACUGAGGCUCGAAAGUGUGGGUAUCAAACAGGAUUAGAUACCCCUGUAGUC